rnacentral:rRNA from 1 species
UGGGGAAUAUUGCACAAUGGGCGCAACCCUGAUGCAGCCAUGCCGCGUGUGUGAAGAAGGCCUUCGGGUUGUAAAGCACUUUCAGCGGGGAGGAAGGCGUUAAGGUUAAUAACCUUGGCGAUUGACGUUACCCGCAGAAGAAGCACCGGCUAACUCCGUGCCAGCAGCCGCGGUAAUACGGAGGGUGCAAGCGUUAAUCGGAAUUACUGGGCGUAAAGCGCACGCAGGCGGUCUGUCAAGUCGGAUGUGAAAUCCCCGGGCUCAACCUGGGAACUGCAUUAGAAACUGGCAGGCUGGAGUCGUGUAGAGGGGGGUAGAAUUCCAGGUGUAGCGGUGAAAUGCGUAGAGAUCUGGAGGAAUACCGGUGGCGAAGGCGGCCCCCUGGACAAAGACUGACGCUCAGGUGCGAAAGCGUGGGGAGCAAACAGG